GAAUUGCAGUUAAAAAGCAUUGCAGUUAAAUGACUUGCAGUUAUCGAACGUCUGCUGUACGAUACAACGAUAUACGAUACAACGAACAGCUUUUAAAUAAUAAUAAAAUGUCAGACAAUCUUCGCACAUACGUGGCGCCGCUAUUUAUUACAGACAGCGUUAACCCAAGUGCAACAUAUACGUUCUGGGAAGCGUUAAAAUGAAGCCAAAUGUUCAUCCUGCUAGCAGCAAAUCGCUGAUUCUUGGCUCUUUGGCGCGGUAUCCUCUGCGAAUGCUAGUGAACUACUCCGCGAAACACCGCAUACUUCAUCAGCAGUCAUCAUCGGCCGGAAGAUCCAUCGUCGAGUGUAAAUCGACAGCAGCUCUAACCAAACUUCCGAAUCCGGCAUUGCUAUAUUCUACGGAACCAGCUUUACAAAUAAGUUAAUAAUGCAAGAAAUUGUUACUCCGUCAGUAACACCGGAAGGCAAACAUCAUGUAGCCUGAUCUAUCGGAGCCGAUUUUGCGAGAUCGCGAGUUAACGAAUCAACUAACAGAUUGUCGGAUGAUGAGGAGAUCAAAAUCAAUCGGUUACUUUCGGUUAGAGUCGAGUCCGCUGAGACACGGUUGAUCCGGAUUGAAAGUGCCUGAUCGAACCAUCCGUCCUCCGGAUGCCGUUGGGAAAGAUCAGUUUGCGCAGUAUUCGAAAUAAGGUGUUUAUAAGUGAAAAUUGUUGACAUUUUAUAAAGAAAGGUCUUGUCGAGAGACACGUAUAUCCUAUACGUAUCUACGAUGGUAAAACUGGCAAAACGUUCGCAAACGUAUCCAUUGUAGAGGGCUCUUAAGGCCUCAGAGCGAAAUUGAAGAAGACAAAAAAUCGCAAUAUCUAAAAGUUUAUGUACUUUGAGGGAUGGUACUUUGAGGGAGGGUACUUGCACAAAACUUCACGCGGACUGUCGAAAGGUACGGCCGCGACAAACGAUACACCGCAAUGCUAUUCAUCCAUAAGAAUCAAGUAAACGGGGUGCAGAAAGCGCGGCGGUACCUUUCAUGAAAGGUUCGCCGCGUGCAAUUUUGAGAAAAUCAUCAGGCAAUAUACAAAAGCUGAUAAGUCGUUUUGAUAAUUUUGUAUUGAAUUAUUCUCCAAAUGAGACAUACCUAAUUUAUUCAGUGUAACGAACUGUCAGAUUUUUCCUGCAGGCACACAUGUGUGCGUGAAGGAUUUAACUUCGUGUCGCGAAUGGGAUAUUACUAUGUGGCGGAACAAAGAAGGAAUGAUUUAGGCUUUCAGCGAUCGUGUACGUACACGCACGUUUCACUCACACUUUUACUAGGUUUGUUUGCAACCACGAGCAGCUGUCACGGCAAAAUCAAAUGGCAUUGUUUGCCAAUGUCAUUUAUUUUAUACAGGUCCGGUUGAGCGUGCCCUUUGUGCGUAUUAGUAGCUCAAAAAGUGUAAACAUUUCUGAUCAGCUGAUUGCUGACGUCAAACUCACACCAAAUUUCAUUCAUGAGGUGUGAGUUUGACGUCACCGUUCUUUUGUUUCCGGCACCCAAGCCACCGCCGGCGUCGUGCGAAACGAACACUGUUACUGAUUCCGACAUUUCACGAACACGUUUGCGCUCUCUCGUCCGAACCUGUAUAAAAUCCAUAACAUUGAUUGUUUGCAACCACGAACCUGCGUUCGUGUUGGUGAGAAAUGUCGGCGAGACCCUAAUGGUUGACAGACAUCCUGACAGAUAGCAAUGAGUUUUUGCCAUAAGAGUGAGGAGAGGCAUUGCCUUCGUUCGCGAAUUGGCUCCCUGGUCUGCCUUCAAUGCUUUUCUGGUCAUUUUCGUCGUCAAAAACAGAGUCAAAGUUUUGUGCAGAUACCUAUUUUCCUUUCAAAGAAAAUUAGUUUAUUAAAUUACAUACCUUAAUAUAUCUAGAAACGUAUUAAAAGUGUGCAAAAUAGAAUUACGGGCUCAAUUGAUAUAGUCAAGAAAAGCUCGUUUGAUUGAAAUGUAGUUUCUUCGGUGACAUCCAGAAAUUCGGUGAUUUUCAACUUAAUCUGAGCAGUGGUGAACAAAAUUCCGUCAAGUAAAUAAACAGUACCCGGCCUAGUUUAAGAACCAGCCAACAUGUCUAUGCGAAGGCCGCGUGUAAAGGUUGCCGCGAAUCUCGCGAUUCGUCGACCUGCCAAAACUCCGACUACCACUUUCGGUGCCCGCAGAGGGAAAGAGAUAGCAAAGAAAAAGUACCCAUUAAUGAGUAAACGUGUUUCUCCGUGUGGUGAAACAAAACCAGUGAUCAAAUCGAUCCAUGAAACGCUCAGUAAUGAAAGCGAGAUC